CACAAGGCUCCUGAGACGGGUCCAGUGAGAUAGAGCAGAAGUUGUCUGCAGCAGGGACACAAGUUAAAAGACUACAUCACGGCUUCCUGAUGCAUACGAAUGGGCUCAUCCGUCAUCUCUUCUGAGUCAAGUCGCCAUGACAUCAUGACCUGUCACCAGAUACCAAGACCACAUCCUCUAGGAGUUCACUCCCAGACUUUCAUUACCCCCAGUGAUGGACGAAGGGCAAGACUCUGCUUGCCCCUUUCUUGCUGAUGGACGUUGCUGAAAGGCCUUCACGGAAACUUACCAGAUGAAACGGCAGUUUCCUUCCCCUCCCUUCUAUUAAAUUCUAACUCACCUCCCCUCACCCACACGGCAAGUCAAGCUGUCUGCCCCAGGCAGUCUCUGCCAGCCAGGCCAGGCCUGAUCUUGUUCUCCGAAUGUCUGAAGCGGGGAGGCCUAAAAGGAAAUACUGCUCUCAUUCCAAAGUUGCUUCGUCUUCAUGGGGAAACAUUUUUUUCAGAGAAAGGUAAAUGCAGCCAAUCUGAGAAAUCUUAGUUGAUUAUUUACUAUUACUUAACCUUCAAAAGAUUCCACUGCAAAAGGAAGGGCUGGUAUUUCUACAGUUCACAGCCCAGAGAAAUUCUCUUUCUCUGCAGAACCAGCCGAGGUCAGCCAGUUAGGUUAAGCUUAUAUAUUCAUAGGUUGUAAUUAGUCUUUGGGUGGUGAACAUGAUGUAAUCCACACAGAAUUCGAAAUAUAUUACAAUGCACACCUGAAAGUUAUAUAAUGUUAUAAUCCAAUGUUACUGCAAUAAAAAAUAAAUAAAUAAAAUAAAAGCUUAUAUUCAAAGAGGCCAAUUCUAUUACCCCCUCCAUUUCCCAGAAUGCCUCACAGUGGACAUUCAAAACGGCUCACAAGGCCGAAGGCAUUAGCUUUUCACGUCAUUCCUGAAUUAUUGAUGGGCUUUGCAAGUUAGCUUUACCUGUGCACAUGACUAUCCUUAGCCAGUCUUUACAGCACAAAAGGGAAGCUGUCAAUAUAGGGCUAAUGAAGACUUGCACACUAUAAAAGUAAACUUUCUCAAAGUGGAACAUCAGAAUUCACAGGUGGUUUCUGCUGUUUUGAAAUAUGGUUCUGCAGCUUCAGAACAUCAUUUCGUGGCACUUAAGUUUUCAGGCCAAAUCUCUGUGCAGAGAUGAGAACUGUUCUGCUUUAAAACUAUUAUUAUUAUUAAUUACCUGAAGCAAUUAAUCAAAUACCUAAAACGCUUUUUGCAAAAUAGUCAGGCAAUAACAUUGUGUAGAAACUCAUGCUAAGGGCUGUCAUUUCCCAGAGUAUAGGGAAUCUCACCCAUCUCUCCUGGGUUGCUUAAAAAAUAUAGUAAGUAAAAGUAGAGUGGUUUAUGUUACAUCAGAGGCAGAGGCGAGGAUGACACGUGGUAAACAGACUUAACACCAAAAAUAACAGUGCACUUUCUAUUAUGGCUCUAUCAGUUAGAAGAGCAAUGGGGUGCAGGUAACAGAGGUACUAUUAGUGGCUAAAGGAAAUCAGUGGUUUAUUCUCAACAUAAAGCAAAUCGGAAGGUAUGCAGUCAUUAGGGGCCCAAGUCUUCUGUCUCUUCUGCCAUCCUUAACCUCAUGACCCAAGCUGGUUGCUGAAAUUCUAGCCCUUCCAUCCAUGUCCCAGGAAAGAAAAGAGGGAAAAGGGCAAAAAGAGUGUCCUUCCUUGCUUCCCAGAAGCCUCACUCAUAGAGUUGCCAGAUUCAGCAAAUAAAAAUACUAAUGUAUUACAUGGGACAUACUUAUAUUAAAAAUGAUUCGUUUAUCUGAAAUUCAAAUUUAACUAGGUAACCCAUAUGUUAUCUGCAACACUGCCCCCCAACAACAUCUCCUUAGAUCUCAUUAGCCACCCCUACUGCAAGGCAGGCUGGGGGUGUAGUCUUUAGCUAGGCACAUGGCCACGUAGGAGUUCUUUUCACUAAGAAAGAAAUGGAGAGUGGACAUUGGGUAAGGGGCCAACAGUCUUGCGGGAGUGAGGGUGAGUGUGGGAAAAGGAGAAGGCCUCACGUACGCCCCACCCACUCCGUGAAGCACUUCUUGACUGCGUCAGCCCCUCACGGUCCCUCUGGCCUCUGAAAGCCUACGGCCCUUUUUGUCUUGGUUCUAGAUACAAAGUAAAGAUACUGAUUUUUAAUAAACGUACAAAAAUUGAUAUAUUCAGAGACUAUCAUCGUCUUCAAAGAGGUCAGACACUCACAGUACCGCCACCUUUCAAAAUAGCUUUGGAAUUUAGAUCCUGAUGAAGCAGAAGGCUUUCCUUACAAGGGGUCCAGGAAGCAGCAGUUGCAGGCAAGACCAGCGACGUCUUGGAAAUUUGUUGUCUCUGAGUGGAAACGCUCAACAAAUUCCAUUCUACAUCAAACUUACGCCAUUCCUUCCCAGAGCUUCCUCCCACCAUUGUAAGAACACAAGAUUAUCUUCUGGAAUGUCAACAGCUCCAGCCAGUGGGGACAGAACGGAUGAAACAGCUGGUUCAGGAAACUGGCUUUGGAAAGCUCAGGGGCCUCUCAUAACUCAAUUAUCUGUGGCCUGAUCAACCUCAUUAAAGCCUGGUUUACACUGUGUUGCAUUCUAAAAUAAAGAUAGAGAACAAUGGGGGGAAACAGACUCAAAUUAAAAUUCUCUCCAUGUUUCCCUUGAAAAACUUUAAUUUAGGGCAUCCCUUUUACCUGACAGUGACUGCUCAUGGCUCCUACCACUUACAUGUGAAUGACGUUUAUGACAUCCAACCUGUCCAUGGGUACCUUCCUUGGGUUAACGGUGGGGUCAGCAAGCUUUCAAAAGUUAGGAUGAAAUUAUUUUUCUAAGAUUGAAUCCUAGUAACUGCAUUUCUACGGUUCAGCGCCUUUCCUGGAUGGUUGCUGCGUGAAUAUCUCCGUGCAGGUGCUGACGACAGUAAACACAUUACACGUACUCAGCCCGGGGUUUAAGCACCGUCCCUUCUGGGUUUGUCAUAUGUUCUCUCGCUAUUUAUACUGCUUUGGGUCAGCUACUUGAUACUUAAUAAAAUUUGCCUCCAAGCUGUUCUGCAGGGAAAAUGACCUACCCGGGGAGAAUGCUGUUCCAACUUUAUAACCUCUGAUGAUUGCCCAAUAGUCCUCUGAAAAGGUUGCAGGGCUGGAGUGAGUGGAAGUCCGUGCCGCUUGCUGGCAUUUAAGGGCACCGAGUAUUUUAGUGUAAAUAGAAUUAUAGCCCUGCUGUUGGGGGCCUUUCCAGCCAACCUCUCCCACGUGGGAGCAGCUGUAGGUGGCAUGAGCGAUGUGGAAAUUCGGCCUCUGCUCAAGGUUAGAACAUGCAGACUUCAUCAGCGAUGAUUUUACCCACGUUCCG